GCCAAUAAAAGGUAAGUUCUGAGUGAAUUGGGGGUGGGCCAGGGCUUUUUUAAAGGGUAUUACAAACUACUUUGCUGGCAAAUUUGUAAUACAGGCCCCCGGCCUUGGCAGGUGUUUUACCAGCUAGGCCUGUAAAAUACUGGCCGGGUGGCAACCUAAAAGCAAUUGUUUCUCCAAAUAUAUUAUUCAGCAACUUGAAAAUCAUCAGCCAAUAAUUGCUAUUAGUGCAGCAUAAACAAUAUAAAACGGCACAUUUAAAACUUCAAAUUUUAGAAAUACAAACAGCAACUCGCAACAAGACAAUUGCUUUCCUCUCAAUAGUUUGUAUAGAUAGGUCACAGGACUACAUUUCCCAGCAUGCAGCAGUGCUCAGGACUGGGCUGGCGCUUGGCUGUGUAUCCAAUCAUUAAAAAGGGCGCAAAAUGUUUGUGGAGAGCCAGCCCUCUCUGCCUACUGUAUAAAGGGCAGUGUUAUGGGAGAGCAAGGGAGUGGUUUACUGAUCCAGGAGAAGGCUGCUAUCCCAGCUUUAGACUAGGCAAAUAAGGUGCAGGGGGGAAGUUGUCUGGUUGUUUAAUGAGAAAAUCACAGGCUGGAAUCAGCAGAGGCCCCGGUGAUUACAGCAGCUGGAGAACAUAUCUAUCUACAGCUUCCCUGCUCAGAUCUGCUCCACAGAGUGAUCCAGUUAUUUAAGAGCACAGACUGUACAAGUGACUCUUCAUUACAAUUAGCAUACUAGGCGAGCAGCAAACGGAGUGAUACAGAGCAAUGGUUU